GUGGGGAAUAUUGCGCAAUGGGGGGAACCCUGACGCAGCCAUGCCGCGUGAAUGAAGAAGGCCUUCGGGUUGUAAAGUUCUUUCGGUGAUGAGGAAGGCAGUUUGGUUAAUAGCCAAGCUGAUUGACGUUAGUCACAGAAGAAGCACCGGCUAACUCCGUGCCAGCAGCCGCGGUAAUACGGAGGGUGCGAGCGUUAAUCGGAAUAACUGGGCGUAAAGGGCACGCAGGCGGAUUUUUAAGUGAGGUGUGAAAGCCCUGGGCUUAACCUGGGAAUUGCAUUUCAGACUGGGAAUCUAGAGUACUUUAGGGAGGGGUAGAAUUCCACGUGUAGCGGUGAAAUGCGUAGAGAUGUGGAGGAAUACCGAAGGCGAAGGCAGCCCCUUGGGAAUGUACUGACGCUCAUGUGCGAAAGCGUGGGGAGCAAACAGG
rnacentral:rRNA from 1 species